rnacentral:lncRNA from 1 species
UAUUACAACGCAGUACAUGGUUUAGCUAAUCUGUAUAAAAGAGCAUAAAAAAGUAAUGAAUUUUCAUAACACACUCGGAGGAGAUAUUGAGCAUUCCAUUCCGCUUAAAAAUAAGUGAAUAAAAACCAUCUGGAAGUAGCAUUCGGAAAAAGAAACUCGUAGUGCUAUAAUAAAUUCAUCGCAAGUAUGAGCUGGGGAAACAGUUGGUCUAGCAACAGUUUUAGCGGCGGAUCUGGAGGAGGUUGGGGAGGAAGCUCAUGGGGUAGCAGCUCCGGCAAUAAAGACCCGGAGGGUACACAUAAUGCUUCGUGUAUUGCUGGAUCCGGAGGUUGGGGUAACAGUGGACUUAUGAAGAGCUAUUAUGAUGAAAGUUGCUCAGGUUGUAGACAUGACAGAGCCAAAUCUACGUGGGGUAGUACGCCAUCUGGUGGUAACCCUGCACUGAAAGUUGCAGCAUUGUUUGGAAUUGGUGUUAUGGCAAAGAAAAGUCUUUGGGACUGAAACACGGACGUUACUUUAUACCCGUUUGUGUCAUUUCUUAUGACAAACGUAAUUGCCCUUGCAGUGCUUGCCCAGCAAUCUCCUCUGAGGUGUUUAGUUACAUUUGCUGCGGUAUAUUUUAUUACCAUGUUUGUAAUUGAUUCUGUUAAAGGCAAGAGUACUACAAAAGAGCUGAAAAUGUAAAGACAUUUCAGUUUUUUUUCUACAGGCAGGGACAUACUGGAGAGAAAAAAACUGUACUAGUAUUACCGGGAGUAGUGCAAUAAUCUAAAGUUGUUCAUUUUCUAAUUUACAAUGAUGGAUAUGUUUUGUUUACUUUAUAACCAAUGUAUUCACGAUGUUGAAGGUAAACUGUUCUGAUAUUACGGUUACUGUUUAUACUUUUCUGCAUCUCCUUUAACCUUAAUGUCUCAUAAGGCUUUCAAUUUGAUGUUAAAACAAAUGAAACUGCUAUCUAUCCAAAUAGAUGUACUGCAUAAUAACACGGUUCUAAAAGCACUUCUUUCCAUACUCCACGUGCGAUUUUACAAUUAGAGCAGUAAAGGGAGGUAACAGAAACAAUUAAUUAAUUAACCUUUUACUAUGUCUUUCAAUAUUCAAACCUUUAACACAUUUUAGAGAAAACUAUAUUAAAGAUUGAAUUUAACAGGAAAUUGAUAUAUUUUAUGUUCUUAACAAAACUUUUGGCAGCAACAUUUCAAUAAAGGCAUUAUUCAUUAAUGUCAAAGUUAUCAAUCUAUAUGGACGAUAUGGGUAUUAUGAGAAAUUAGAUAGUCAAAUUUGUAUCAUAUCGCAGAAAUAAAAAACAUAAAUUACACGAAGAAACAGCAUGUUUUUUUCCAGUAAAUGAGAUAUUUGUUGGUUCAAAUGAAGUAACAUUCUGAUACCUUGUUCUUGUUGGGGAAAAUAGUUAUGCUUAAAUGACUAAAAUUUAUUGUUAUAUCCUUUGCACAUGCAUAUCAUGUAAUUGAAGCUUUAUAGUUCAGUCAGUGUAAUGAACACAUCUUUAUAUAAAAUGAAUGUUGUUUUUAUAUGAUGUUUUGAAAUUACACGAAAAAUCUCAUUAUAUUUGCACCAUUUUAUGAAGCCAUCAUUACAAGUGCAUUAAUUAAGUAAUUAAAUAUCACUUCUUGAUUUUCUAGAGAUAUAAUAGGUUCUAAUGAUAGUUUGACGAUCAUUAUCUAAAAUCUGCUGUAAUUAGUUAUACCUGUCUAAUAAAUGUGUUUGUUAAUCUGUUUUGAAAUGCAAUAGAAUGUACAAAAUAUCAAGUCAAUUGGUUCAUCUUAAUUUGUUAAAAGUGGGUGAAAGUUAUUGUACUGUUUUCUAAUUUUUCUAUUUUCUCGAAUGCGAUAAUAAAGAAAAUAUACAAAGUGAAAUGAAAUUACUUUCUUCUUUGUCGCUUGAAACCUAAUUAUGAAUCUGUUUAUCAAGACACUAUGGAAAAAUCAAUGUGUACAUGAAAUAUUUCAUGAUAUAUGAUCUUAGUUGUUGUUAUGAAUGCGUUACGUUCAAAAUGUAAUAUAUCGAUGACGAAAUAAAGAAAAUAUACAAAGUGAAAUAGAAAUUUUA